AGAGUUUGAUCCUGGCUCAGAGCGAACGCUGGCGGCGUGCCUAACACAUGCAAGUCGAACGCGCAGUAUGCCGUAGCAAUACGGCAGCCUGUGCGUGGCGAACGGGUGCGUAACACGUGGGUAACCUACCCUCCUGUGGGGAAUAACCCGCCGAAAGGCGGGCUAAUACCGCAUGACAUUCCUGCUGCUGCGGCAGCGGG
rnacentral:rRNA from 1 species